rnacentral:rRNA from 1 species
UUAACAUGAGAGUUUGAUCCUGGCUCAGGACGAACGCUGGCGGCGUGCCUAACACAUGCAAGUCGAGCGAAGUUUAAUUGGUAGCGACUUCGGUCAAAACCGAUUAAACUUAGCGGCGGACGGGUGAGUAACACGUAGGCAACCUACCCAUAACACGGGGAUAGCUUCGGGAAACCGGAGGUAAUACCCGAUACCUUUAC